rnacentral:rRNA from 1 species
AGAGUUUGAUCCUGGCUCAGGAUGAACGCUGGCGGCGUGCUUAACACAUGCAAGUCGAACGAUCCUUCGGGAUAGUGGCGGACGGGUGAGUAACGCGUGGGAAUCUGCCCUCAGGAGGGGGAUAACGGCUGGAAACGGCCGCUAAUACCCCCUAUGCCGAGAGGUGAAACGAAUUUCGCCUGAGGAUGAGCCCGCGUCUGAUUAGCUAGUUGGUGGGGUAAAGGCCUACCAAGGCGACGAUCAGUAGCUGGUCUGAGAGGAUGAUCAGCCACACUGGGACUGAGACACGGCCCAGACUCCUACGGGAGGCAGCAGUGGGGAAUUUUCCGCAAUGGGCGAAAGCCUGACGGAGCAACGCCGCGUGAGGGAUGAAGGCCUCUGGGCUGUAAACCUCUUUUCUCAAGGAAGAAGAACUGACGGUACUUGAGGAAUAAGCCACGGCUAAUUCCGUGCCAGCAGCCGCGGUAAUACGGGAGUGGCAAGCGUUAUCCGGAAUUAUUGGGCGUAAAGCGUCCGCAGGCGGCCUUGUAAGUCUGUUGUUAAAGCGUGGAGCUCAACUCCAUUUAAGCAAUGGAAACUACAAGGCUGGAGUGUGGUAGGGGCAGAGGGAAUUCCCGGUGUAGCGGUGAAAUGCGUAGAUAUCGGGAAGAACACCAGUGGCGAAGGCGCUCUGCUGGGCCAUAACUGACGCUCAUGGACGAAAGCCAGGGGAGCGAAAGGGAUUAGAUACCCCUGUAGUCCUGGCCGUAAACGAUGAACACUAGGUGUCGGGGGAAUCGACCCCCUCGGUGUCGUAGCCAACGCGUUAAGUGUUCCGCCUGGGGAGUACGCACGCAAGUGUGAAACUCAAGGGAAUUGACGGGGGCCCGCACAAGCGGUGGAGUAUGUGGUUUAAUUCGAUGCAACGCGAAGAACCUUACCAGGGUUUGACAUCCUGCGAAUCCCUUGGAAACGAGGGAGUGCCUUCGGGAGCGCAGUGACAGGUGGUGCAUGGCUGUCGUCAGCUCGUGUCGUGAGAUGUUGGGUUAAGUCCCGCAACGAGCGCAACCCACGUCUUUAGUUGCCAGCAUUCAGUUGGGCACUCUAGAGAGACCGCCGGUGAUAAACCGGAGGAAGGUGUGGAUGACGUCAAGUCAUCAUGCCCCUUACAUCCUGGGCUACACACGUACUACAAUGCUACGGACAAAGGGCAGCAAGCUCGCGAGAGUUAGCAAAUCCCAUAAACCGUGGCUCAGUUCAGAUCGUAGGCUGCAACUCGCCUACGUGAAGGAGGAAUCGCUAGUAAUCGCAGGUCAGCAUACUGCGGUGAAUACGUUCCCGGGCCUUGUACACACCGCCCGUCACACCAUGGAAGUUGGCCAUGCCCGAAGUCGUUACUCCAACCCUUGUGGAGGAGGACGCCGAAGGUGGGGCUGAUGACUGGGGUGAAGUCGUAACAAGGUA